rnacentral:SRP_RNA from 1 species
CCGUGCUAGACGGGGAGGUAGCGGUGCCCUGUAACCCGCAACCCGCUAUAGCGGGGUUGAACUCCUGCCCGAGGCCCCGGUCAACCGGGGACGGCGCGGCGUGGGCGGUGAAGAAGGCCGGAUCCCGCGCGACGGGCGCCUGGGAACCCCGUCAGGCCCGGAAGGGAGCAGCGGUAACCAGGAGAGCCCGGGUGCCGCGGGGAAAUCCGGGCGGAGCCGCCGGCGUCGCCAGCGCCCGGGGGGCCAGGUCGGAGGCAGGUGCACGG